rnacentral:ncRNA from 1 species
AUAUAGGCGAAGAAGAGAAGAGUAAGCGGGGGAUACUUAUACAGAGAACUCUAAGAUGGUGAGAUAGAGUAAAGUGGAACUGCGCCCAAUAUGGUCUUGGAGUCUGAAUAUCGAAGUUAACUUUAGGUAUUCACGUGUUCACACGUUAUAGUGAUAGAGUAUUUAAAAGUUUUUUAAUGUACUUGAAGAGUUAUAGACUGCGAGGUUUAUAUAAAUUAAGGGUGGUAACGCGAAGCUUUCGCCCCUUUG